rnacentral:rRNA from 1 species
GACGAACGCUGGCGGCGUGCCUAAUACAUGCAAGUCGAACGCAGUGGGGACGGGUGAGUAACACGUGGGUAACCUCCCAUCAGAGGGGAUAACACUUGGAAACAGGUGCUAAACCGAUACUGAUGGAUGGACCCUCGGUGCAUUAGCUAGUUGGUGAGGUAACGGCUCACCAAGGCCACGAUGCAGAGCCGAGCUGGUCGGGUGCUCGGCCCCACUGGGACGGCAACACGGCCCAGAAUCCUCCGGGGGGCAGCAGUAGGUAAUCUUCGGCAAUGGACGAAAGUCUGCCCGAGCAACGCCGCGGGAGUGAAGAGGGUUUGCGGAUCUUAAAGCGCUGUUAUUAGAGAAGCGGUAAAUAACCAGAAAGGGACGGCUAACUACGUGCCAGCAGCCGCGGUAAUAC